rnacentral:rRNA from 1 species
AACGAACGCUGGCGGCAUGCCUAACACAUGCAAGUCGAACGAGACCUUCGGGUCUAGUGGCGCACGGGUGCGUAACGCGUGGGAACCUGCCCUUAGGUUCGGAAUAACUCCCCGAAAGGGGUGCUAAUACCGGAUAAUGUCUUCGGACCAAAGAUUUAUCGCCUUUGGAUGGGCCCGCGUUGGAUUAGCUAGUUGGUAGGGUAAAAGCCUACCAAGGCGACGAUCCAUAGCUGGUCUGAGAGGAUGAUCAGCCACACUGGGACUGAGACACAGCCCAGACUCCUACGGGAGGCAGCAGUGGGGAAUAUUGGACAAUGGGCGAAAGCCUGAUCCAGCAAUGCCGCGUGAGUGAUGAAGGCCUUAGGGUUGUAAGGCUCUUUUACCCGGGAUGAUAAUGACAGUACCGGGAGAAUAAGCUCCGGCUAACUCCGUG